AUGUAUGUAGUUUGAUGGCUGUAAUCCGAAUCCUCCCAUGAGAUGUAUAGUUUAGCUGUGUCUAAAGUGGUUUGAGGCAAGGCCUAACCCAGACUACUUUCUUCCGUCUGGCCAACAAGUCCAUUCAAAGCGCCAGUUUGCAGUGACAGCGCAUUAUUAUGUGCGUAGGACGACAAUGGUGCACUAUCAGAAGGAAGGAGAUGCAAAGAGAGCCCUAGCCAAGCAGGGAGAGAAGGCAGUACAGUUUCAGACGGAGAAAGAGAAAGCGCACCUACGUACUGUAGAGCAAAAAGAGAGAAGUGAUAAGGCAACAGCACACCAGCUUUUACAACCCUCGCUUACUAAAUCAAUGGAAAGCUGCAAAAAUGUGAAAAGAAGAUGAAGAGAAAACCAAUGUCUAGGCCUUGAGGGCCAAGAUGCGCAACAUCACACCAGACUCUUAUCUGUGGACGUGUCUUUCCCCUGAGAAGAUUCUGCACUCCAGCAAACAGCGGGAUUCAAAGGUAUAUCAGGUGCAUGACCUUAGGGUUAGUGUAAUCUACAGCCGAGCAUCCGCUGAAAAAGUCAGACACAGAACUAGACAUCAUGUGGCCAGCAUACAAUUAUACACACACAUGCACACACCCAACUUACUUCUCUUUCUGUUACACUCUCAUAAACACAAGGUUGUACUUUCUGUUGUUUCUGUGGAUGGAUUUAUGAUUGGAUAUUAUCUAUGCAUAUCUUGUUUUUCUGUGCUUUAUAUUAGCAUUAAAGACAUUUUCCUACCUUCUGCAGUACCGAAUAAUUACCUGUUAUGAGUCAAUUUUAUAUUGAAUUUGAGUUCAUACUGAUUGACUUUGCAUUAUACCAAAGCGUAAUGCGUAAUAUGCUGUAUCUUUGAAAAAAUAGAUCUAUUAUCAUUCAAUUUUCCCCUCAUUAACCUUUGGUUCAUUGCUUAAUGUGUCACAGGCCAAAGGCCAUUGUAAUCUCUCUCAAUGGACACGCUGUUCUUGAUCAAUAUGCUUCUUGCUCACCAACUUGCAUUGUUUUAUUUUCCUGCUCGUGUUCCAAAGUAAGGUGUGAAAGGAUCAUUCCAAGUCUCAAAGGAGAGGCUUC